AGACGUCGACGCUCCCACAAUGAAGACGGUUAUUCUAAUAUUUGUGCUGUGCUUAGCGAUCGCACACACGCGAUAUAUUGAUUCUGAAUCCAGUGCGAUUCUCCCCGUGGACCGUGACAUUAGUGGCAGUGUGCAACUUUCGCGUGCUUUGCGAGGUCUUCCAUCAAUAUACAUGGAUAAUGGACACCCCUGUGCAAAGGGACACGUAUGGCGUUUUUUCCGGUGCUUUUCAAAUGACCUAUUUCCCCAGAGGAACUUAAGAUCAGCUGCAUAUUAUA